rnacentral:rRNA from 1 species
AGCUCCAUUAGCGUAUAUUAAAGUUGUUGCAGUUAAAAAGCUCGUAGUUGGAUUUCAGUACGGGCCAGUUGGUCGGCCGCAAGGCCUGUUACUGGCUGGUCUGUCCUUCUUGUCAAAGACUGCGUGUGCUCUUCGUUGAGUGUGCGUAGGAUUUGGGACGUUUACUUUGAAAAAAUUAGAGUGUUCAAGGCAGGCUUUUCAGCUUGAAUACAUGAGCAUGGAAUAAUGGAAUAGGACUACGGUCCCUAUUUCGUUGGUUUCGAGGACCGAAGUAAUGAUUAAGAGGGACAGUUGGGGGCAUCCGUAUUUCGUUGUCAGAGGUGAAAUUCUUGGAUUUACGAAAGACGAACAACUGCGAAAGCAUUCGCCAAGAGUGUUUUCAUUAAUCAAGAACGAAAGU